rnacentral:rRNA from 1 species
AUUGAACGCUGGCGGCAGGCCUAACACAUGCAAGUCGAACGAGUGGCGGACGGGUGAGUAAUGUCUGGGAAACUGCCCGAUGGAGGGGGAUAACUACUGGAAACGGUAGCUAAUACCGCAUACCAUCGGAUGUGCCCAGAUGGGAGUAGCGUGUAGGUGAGGUAACGGCUCACGUAGGCGACGAUCCCUAGCUGGGCUUAGAGGAUGACCAGACACAAGGGCAAUGUGAAACGUUCCACACUCCUAGGGGAGUCAGAAGUGGGGAUGAUUGCACAAUGGGCGGAAGCCUGAUGGAGCCAUGCCGCGUGUAUGAAGAAGGCCUUCGGGUUGUAAAGUACUUUCAGCGGGGAGGCGUUACCCGCAGAUGAAGCACCGGCUAACUCCGGGCCAGCAGCCGCGGUAAUAC